CCCUUAGAUGUUCUGGGCCGCACGCGUGCUACACUGAGUGGAUCAGCGGGUCAGGUUGCGCGAAAGCGUUUCCUAAUCUUUAAAUCCGCUCGUGAUGGGGAUUGACGGUUGCAAUUUUCUGUCAUGAACGAGGAAUACCUUGUAAGCGCGGGUCAUCAUCCCGCGCUGAAUACGUCCCUGCCCUUUGUACACACCGCCCGUCGCUCCUACCUAUUGAGUGGUCCGGUGAGGCUUUGGGAUCUGAGCGGAAAGAGCGUUUCGCUGUUUCUGCUCGGAAAACUCAGUCGAACCUUAUCAUUUAGAGGAAGGAGAAGUCGUAACA
rnacentral:rRNA from 1 species